GCCGAGGUGGUGGAAUUGGUAGACACGCUAGCUUGAGGGGUUAGUGGAGGGUUCUCCGUGCAGGUUCAAGUCCUGUUCUCGGCACCA
rnacentral:tRNA from 1 species